UAAAAUAAAAAAGGAAAAGAAAAAAACCGGCGGCGCAACGAGCUCUUAAAUAGGAAGAACGUGACAAGAAAGCCACUACGUAGUCAACAUUCAUGCAGCUAUUAUGGACAGGUACGGCAACUUUUGAUUGGUAGAGAGAGGAGGCAUAAUAGUAGGGACAGCGCCUUAUCAGAGGGCUUAUCGAACGAUCGGGGUGACAUCGGCCCCAAAGCUUAUCGCAUCUAAGUCGCUUUGUAAGUGGUGGGAAAAACAUUAGAUAGCCAAUCAAAGAUUGCAAAGACUUGAAAGCAACACCCAGGCCAGCACGCAAUGAACCAUCGUUCAAGUGCAUUAAAGUAUAUAGCGAAAGAGAAUGGAAUGCAGUAAAAUCAACCGGCUGUGGAAGUGAGUAGCGCCGAUAUCGCUAUAUAGGAAGUGUGGGGGUGUAUAUAUAAAAUGGGGGCGAAAGGGUUACUAUAGAGACAAAUAGACACGAGGUAACUAAGUAAGUAGGUAGGAGAAAAGCGAAUUAACAAUUUGAACUUGAUAAUAAAAUAGUUGUGUAUUUCUCAGUCAAUUUAGAAUCAAUUGAGGAGAAAACUACAUGAUCAUAGAAGGGAAAGAAGGAACACAGCGAAAGAAAGAAGCGUUAAACAAUAGGAAUGGUUCUUUUU